rnacentral:lncRNA from 1 species
GCAAAGAUGACCUGUUGUUGAAUAUCUUUGGCCUGUAGUGCAAAGAUGAACUGUUGAUGAAUAUCUUUGGCCCGUAGUGCAAAGAUAAAUUUAUUAGUAUGAUUAUGAACAGGAACUGUGAUUUGGUAUAACCAUGAUCUUUGAUGUUUCAGGUAAAGACAAGUGAUGAAAAUUAUCUUCGUCCUGAAUGAGAAAAGGAAUUUAGAACAACAAUUACG